UGUGAAUGUGAUGUAUGGUUUUGGAGUUAUGAAAGUUGGGUAGAAAGUAUGUUUUAACUGUAUGUAUAAUUGAGUUUCCUCUCAGGAUAAGGGGAGGGAAUAUGUGGGAUGUAACUGUGAUGUGAUUGGUUGUUUUGUAACGCCCUGUGGGCUGUACUAUGUUUGUGGAUUGGGAAUAAAAGAGACUGUAUGUGACAGUACAGGGAAUUCCUGUUUUAACCCUCAAAGUGAAGUGUCGUCUCAUUAUUGGGGGAAGGAUUUAUUGUAUGCUGUUCCAGUUUGACUGCUAGGAGAGUAAACCUAUUCGUAUGGUUCCUAUUCAACUGUCUACAGCAUUCAUAUGCUUGAGAGAAUU